UACGGAGGGAGCUAGCGUUAUUCGGAAUUACUGGGCGUAAAGCGCACGUAGGCGGCUUUGUAAGUAAGAGGUGAAAGCCCGGAGCUCAACUCCGGAACUGCCUUUUAGACUGCAUCGCUUGAAUCCAGGAGAGGUGAGUGGAAUUCCGAGUGUAGAGGUGAAAUUCGUAGAUAUUCGGAAGAACACCAGUGGCGAAGGCGGCUCACUGGAGCUGGUAUUGACGCUGAGGUGCGAAAGCGUGGGGAGCGAACGAGG
rnacentral:rRNA from 1 species